rnacentral:rRNA from 1 species
CGCUGGCGGCAUGCCUUACACAUGCAAGUCGAACGGCAGCGCGGGGCAACCUGGCGGCGAGUGGCGAACGGGUGAGUAAUAUAUCGGAACGUACCCUGGAGUGGGGGAUAACGUAGCGAAAGUUACGCUAAUACCGCAUACGAUCUAAGGAUGAAAGUGGGGGAUUCGCAAGAACCUCAUGCUCCUGGAGCGGCCGAUAUCUGAUUAGCUAGUUGGUGGGGUAAAGGCCCACCAAGGCAUCGAUCAGUAGCUGGUCUGAGAGGACGACCAGCCACACUGGAACUGAGACACGGUCCAGACUCCUACGGGAGGCAGCAGUGGGGAAUUUUGGACAAUGGGCGCAAGCCUGAUCCAGCAAUGCCGCGUGAGUGAAGAAGGCCUUCGGGUUGUAAAGCUCUUUUGUCAGGGAAGAAACGGGAUUGGCUAAUAUCUGGUCCUAAUGACGGUACCUGAAGAAUAAGCACCGGCU